UACGUAGGUGGCAAGCGUUGUCCGGAAUUAUUGGGCGUAAAGCGCGCGCAGGCGGCCUCUUAAGUCUGAUGUGCAAGCCCCCGGCUCAACCGGGGAGGGCCAUUGGAAACUGGGAGGCUUGAGUAUAGGAGAGAAGAGUGGAAUUCCACGUGUAGCGGUGAAAUGCGUAGAGAUGUGGAGGAACACCAGUGGCGAAGGCGACUCUUUGGCCUAUAACUGACGCUGAGGCGGCGAAAGCGUGGGAGCAACAGG
rnacentral:rRNA from 1 species